UACGUAGGUGGCAAGCGUUGUCCGGAAUUAUUGGGCGUAAAGCGCGCGCAGGUGGUUUCUUAAGUCUGAUGUGAAAGCCCACGGCUCAACCGUGGAGGGUCAUUGGAAACUGGGGAACUUGAGUGCAGAAGAGGAAAGUGGAAUUCCAAGUGUAGCAGUGAAAUGCGUAGAGAUCCGGAGGAACCCCAGAGGCGAAGGCGGCGUCCUGGCUCGCAUCUGACGCUCAGACACGACAGCAUGGGGAGCGAACGGG
rnacentral:rRNA from 1 species